rnacentral:lncRNA from 1 species
UCAAAGACCAGCCUAGCAAGAGUGUGGUGACCAUGACAGAUCAGGAGGCUACAGGGCAGACUUCGUGCUACCAAGCACUUCCUCAAACCAAACCAUAGAACUGAAGUGUCGAGGAUUUGGAGGUCACUGAGGUAAAAUCCAUACCAGGGGUGUGACUCCCUUUGUUGGUGUUUCCAGUAAGCAGUGCCUCAAUCCAGCCUCUCUCCUUGGACGCCACCAACCGGCUGCUUCUUGCCACGAACCCAGGCAGCCCACGUGAGAUUGGGUACAGAGCAAGUCUGACUUUGCACCAGCUCUGAUGGCGAAGACCCCUCUGGGGACCUCCUACCCACGCCCACUCUCAGUUCUGCCUCCCCGGAGCCAUUUGAGGAAUUCUGGAGGAAUUUCCAAGAUGGCGGUCUUUGAAUAUGUCAUGAGAUUUUACCGCGGUUCUGUUCCCUUGCUCCAUCCCAAAGGGGGAAGGCAGCGUAGCAUAGUGGUUAUGAGUCCUGCAUCUGGAACCAAAUGGCUCAGGUUCAAACGUGACCCGCAGGAUGAACUCAGCUGCUCCAAUGGGCUUCCUGGCAAACCAACAAAGACACACCACCGGCCUCCCCACCGCAGUCAAUGGCACCGCCGACGCCCAGUGCUCACAAGCUUGGGAAGCUGCCUCGACCUUUCCCUCUGCUGUAUUCAGUCAAAUCCAGUGGAAUUCCUUUGACACCGCCUCAUCGCUGUCAGUCAAGGAGGCUCUCAUGGUACUGGCUUUUAAUUCGACUGCUUCAGCCCCAGGACCUUUGCACAUGCUGCUCCAGGCCACUUUGACCCACAAACUGCCUUCUCUGAAGACUCCAGUCUCUGGGCCUUUGAGGCCUCCACGCUGAUGUAUUUGGACGUCUCGGGGCCGUCUGUUACCGGAGGCCACUCCAGCCCCCCGAAGGCACGUCGGUUCCAUCAGCAGCAGCCCCCGCCCCGCGGCUGCCCAUGGAGCCGUUUGAAGUGGGUCCCGGUGGUGUUUACUCGCCUUCGUGGAUGACAGGUGUGGAAUUGACGGCAAUGGCAGCAGCAAGAGCAGCAUCAAUGAGAACCUGAGAGAAGCAUGAAUGGCAGAGUGAGGAUCCCUAUGACGGCAGCAAUAGUGGCAAGAUCAGAAAGGACAGCUGUACUGGGAGCAUCAUGGAGAGAGUCUCCUAGGAAUAGGUCAGGCAGGAGAACCACAACAAACAU